rnacentral:rRNA from 2 species
UUUGGUUAAGUUAGAAAGGGCGCACGGUGGAUGCCUUGACACUAGGAGUCGAUGAAGGACGGGACUAACGCCGAUAUGCUUCGGGGAGCUGUAAGUAAGCUUUGAUCCGAAGAUUUCCGAAUGGGGAAACCCACCAUACGUAAUGGUAUGGUAUCCUUACCUGAAUACAUAGGGUAAGGAAGACAGACCCAGGGAACUGAAACAUCUAAGUACCUGGAGGAAGAGAAAGCAAAUGCGAUUUCCUGAGUAGCGGCGAGCGAAACGGAACAUAGCCCAAACCAAGAGGCUUGCCUCUUGGGGUUGUAGGACAUUCUAUACGGAGUUACAAAGGAACGAGGUAGACGAAGCGACCUGGAAAGGUCCGUCGUAGAGGGUAACAACCCCGUAGUCGAAACUUCGUUCUCUCUUGAAUGUAUCCUGAGUACGGCGGAACACGUGAAAUUCCGUCGGAAUCUGGGAGGACCAUCUCCCAAGGCUAAAUACUCCCUAGUGAUCGAUAGUGAACCAGUACCGUGAGGGAAAGGUGAAAAGCACCCCGGAAGGGGAGUGAAAGAGAUCCUGAAACCGUGUGCCUACAAAUAGUCAGAGCCCGUUAACGGGUGAUGGCGUGCCUUUUGUAGAAUGAACCGGCGAGUUACGAUCCCGUGCGAGGUUAAGCUGAAGAGGCGGAGCCGCAGCGAAAGCGAGUCUGAAUAGGGCGUUUAGUACGUGGUCGUAGACCCGAAACCAGGUGAUCUACCCAUGUCCAGGGUGAAGUUCAGGUAACACUGAAUGGAGGCCCGAACCCACGCACGUUGAAAAGUGCGGGGAUGAGGUGUGGGUAGCGGAGAAAUUCCAAUCGAACCUGGAGAUAGCUGGUUCUCCCCGAAAUAGCUUUAGGGCUAGCCUUAAGUGUAAGAGUCUUGGAGGUAGAGCACUGAUUGGACUAGGGGUCCUCAUCGGAUUACCGAAUUCAGUCAAACUCCGAAUGCCAAUGACUUAUCCUUAGGAGUCAGACUGCGAGUGAUAAGAUCCGUAGUCAAAAGGGAAACAGCCCAGACCGCCAGCUAAGGUCCCAAAGUGUGUAUUAAGUGGAAAAGGAUGUGGAGUUGCUUAGACAACUAGGAUGUUGGCUUAGAAGCAGCCACCAUUUAAAGAGUGCGUAAUAGCUCACUAGUCGAGUGACUCUGCGCCGAAAAUGUACCGGGGCUAAAUACACCACCGAAGCUGCGGAUUGAUACCGAAUGGUAUCAGUGGUAGGGGAGCGUUCUAAGGACAGUGAAGUCAGACCGGAAGGACUGGUGGAGUGCUUAGAAGUGAGAAUGCCGGUAUGAGUAGCGAAAGACGGGUGAGAAUCCCGUCCACCGAAUGCCUAAGGUUUCCUGAGGAAGGCUCGUCCGCUCAGGGUUAGUCAGGACCUAAGCCGAGGCCGACAGGCGUAGGCGAUGGACAACAGGUUGAUAUUCCUGUACCACCUCUUUAUCGUUUGAGCAAUGGAGGGACGCAGAAGGAUAGAAGAAGCGUGCGAUUGGUUGUGCACGUCCAAGCAGUUAGGCUGAUAAGUAGGCAAAUCCGCUUAUCGUAAAGGCUGAGCUGUGAUGGGGAAGCUCCUUAUGGAGCGAAGUCUUUGAUUCCCCGCUGCCAAGAAAAGCUUCUAGCGAGAUAAAAGGUGCCUGUACCGCAAACCGACACAGGUAGGCGAGGAGAGAAUCCUAAGGUGUGCGAGAGAACUCUGGUUAAGGAACUCGGCAAAAUGACCCCGUAACUUCGGGAGAAGGGGUGCUUUCUUAACGGAAAGCCGCAGUGAAUAGGCCCAAGCGACUGUUUAGCAAAAACACAGCUCUCUGCGAAGCCGUAAGGCGAAGUAUAGGGGGUGACACCUGCCCGGUGCUGGAAGGUUAAGGAGAGGGGUUAGCGUAAGCGAAGCUCUGAACUGAAGCCCCAGUAAACGGCGGCCGUAACUAUAACGGUCCUAAGGUAGCGAAAUUCCUUGUCGGGUAAGUUCCGACCCGCACGAAAGGUGUAACGAUUUGGGCACUGUCUCAACCAGAGACUCGGUGAAAUUAUAGUACCUGUGAAGAUGCAGGUUACCCGCGACAGGACGGAAAGACCCCGUGGAGCUUUACUGUAGCCUGAUAUUGAAUUUUGGUACAGUUUGUACAGGAUAGGCGGGAGCCUUUGAAACCGGAGCGCUAGCUUCGGUGGAGGCGCUGGUGGGAUACCGCCCUGACUGUAUUGAAAUUCUAACCUACGGGUCUUAUCGACCCGGGAGACAGUGUCAGGUGGGCAGUUUGACUGGGGCGGUCGCCUCCUAAAGUGUAACGGAGGCGCCCAAAGGUUCCCUCAGAAUGGUUGGAAAUCAUUCGUAGAGUGCAAAGGCAUAAGGGAGCUUGACUGCGAGACCUACAAGUCGAGCAGGGACGAAAGUCGGGCUUAGUGAUCCGGUGGUUCCGCAUGGAAGGGCCAUCGCUCAACGGAUAAAAGCUACCCCGGGGAUAACAGGCUUAUCUCCCCCAAGAGUCCACAUCGACGGGGAGGUUUGGCACCUCGAUGUCGGCUCAUCGCAUCCUGGGGCUGUAGUCGGUCCCAAGGGUUGGGCUGUUCGCCCAUUAAAGCGGUACGCGAGCUGGGUUCAGAACGUCGUGAGACAGUUCGGUCCCUAUCCGUCGUGGGCGUAGGAAAUUUGAGAGGAGCUGUCCUUAGUACGAGAGGACCGGGAUGGACGCACCGCUGGUGUACCAGUUGUUCUGCCAAGGGCAUAGCUGGGUAGCUAUGUGCGGAAGGGAUAAGUGCUGAAAGCAUCUAAGCAUGAAGCCCCCCUCAAGAUGAGAUUUCCCAUAGCGUAAGCUAGUAAGAUCCCUGAAAGAUGAUCAGGUUGAUAGGUUCGAGGUGGAAGCAUGGUGACAUGUGGAGCUGACGAAUACUAAUAGAUCGAGGACUUAACCAUAUAA